UAGACCCUCUGGCCCUCACAUUUUGAGCGUCACCACGCUGCCAGUAAAGGAAAUGGCCUGAAACCCUGUUCUCCGAUAUUGUUCAGGACAUAGUAGCCUGUACUCACUGCCUGUUUACUCAAGCGAAAGGGCUCAGACUGCUUCCUCUAACGGUUGCAGAGAAGGGCUGAAGCUUUGUCAGCUGAGCCUUUGAGAUCUGGCUGGCUGUGAAUGAAUAAUUAAACUCCUGCCAAUGCAAAGGGAUUGGUAGCCGACUUCCCGUGACUGACCAGCCUCUCAUUAGCUCUGCCUGACUGCAGACCCUCCAGCCCUGACAAGUCCUCCAGCAGCUCGUUGGCCUGAGCACCCACUCCUGCCUCUGCUAAGAAAACCAACCACCAGGACUCCCAGAUAGUAUCAAGAAACUGAAACUCACCAGAUCACUGCCUCUGGACCAUGAGAUGUCAGAUCCCUCACCUGUCACGAUUGCCUAACUGACCACCUGCUUCCUGUUGACCAUCUCCUCUUCCCUACCCUCCUUAGUUCUUGUUUUCCCAUACAUUGUUACAUUUCUUCCUUGCUCUAUAAACCUCUAAUUACAGUCAGUUGGGGAGAUGGAUGUGGGACUGAUCUCCCAUCUCCUUGGCUGCAGCACCCAAUUAAACCUUCUUUCCUGGCAAUACUCAUUGUCUCAGUGAUUGGCUUUCUGUGUGGUGAGCAGCAGGACGUAGGCCAAACCCCUGGUAUUUCAGUAACAUUUCCUUCUUGGAACACAGUCCCAUAUUGUAAGGAACCCAACCCACAUGGAGAGGCCAGGUGGAAGAGAGUGGAGGCACUCAGUCUAUGGUCCCAGCUUAGUUCCCAACUAACAGCCAGCAUCAACCACCAGCCAUGUAAGCUCUCCACUGUGGACAUUCAGCUCAGCCAAGGCCCCACCCAGUUGACUAGAGUCCCACCUGACAUCACAUGCAAAAGAGCUACCCAGGUGAGCCAAGUCAGCCUAUACAGUUAGAAAGAAAAUAAAAUGAUUGUUGUUUCUAAGAUGCUAAGUUUUGAGGUGGUUUGUUUUUGUGCAACAUAUGAUUGAAACAGACCUUCAAU
rnacentral:lncRNA from 1 species